UGUGUGUCGUAGUUAACGCGUUAAACAGGGCGCCUGGGAAGUACGGCCGCAAGGCUAAAACCCAAAGGAAUUGACGGGGACCCGCACAAGCAGUGGAGCGCCUGGUUUAAUUCGAUGGUCAGCGAAGAACCUCACCUAGGCUUGAACUGUAGCUGCACACUCCCAGAAACGGGAGAAUCCUUCGAGGGUGCUACAGAGGUGCUGCAUGGCUGUCGUCAGCUCGUGUCGUGAGAUGUAGGGUUAAGUCCCACAACGAGCGCAACCCCUAUUCAGUGUUAUAAUUACUCUGAAGACUGCCCUGUCCAAACGGGGAGGAAGGAGGGGACGACGUCCAGUCAUCAUGUCCCUUAUGUCUAGGGCUACACAGACGCUACAAUGGCCGGUACAAUGGGUUGCCAAACCGCGAGGUGGAGCCAAUCCCAUCAAAGCCGGUCCCAGUUCGGAUUGCAGUCUGCAACUCGACUGCAUGAAGUUGGAAUUGCUAGUAAUCGCGAAUCAGCACGUCGCGGUGAAUACGUUCUCGGGUCUUGUACACACCGCCCGUCAGGGCACGGGAGUCGCUCUUGCUCGAAGUUCC
rnacentral:rRNA from 1 species